AACGAACGCUGGCGGCAGGCUUAACACAUGCAAGUCGAGCGGGGGAGGGUAGCUUGCUACCUGACCUAGCGGCGGACGGGUGAGUAAUGCUUAGGAAUCUGCCUAUUAGUGGGGGACAACAUUCCGAAAGGAAUGCUAAUACCGCAUACGCCCUACGGGGGAAAGCAGGGGAUCUUCGGACCUUGCGCUAAUAGAUGAGCCUAAGUCAGAUUAGCUAGUUGGUGGGGUAAAGGCCUACCAAGGCGACGAUCUGUAGCGGGUCUGAGAGGAUGAUCCGCGACACUGGGACUGAGACACGGCCCAGACUCCUACGGGAGGCAGCAGUGGGGAAUAUUGGACAAUGGGCGAAAGCCUGAUCCAGCCAUGCCGCGUGUGUGAAGAAGGCCUUUUGGUUGUAAAGCACUUCAAGCGAGGAGGAGGCUACUUAGAUUAAUACUCUAGGAUAGUGGACGUUACUCGCAGAAUAAGCACCGGCUAACUCUGUGCCAGCCGCCGCCGUAACAC
rnacentral:rRNA from 1 species